rnacentral:rRNA from 1 species
AGGACGAACGCUGGCGGCGUGCUUAACACAUGCAAGUCGAGCGGUAAGGCCCUUUCGGGGGUACACGAGCGGCGAACGGGUGAGUAACACGUGGGUGACCUGCCCUCAGCUCUGGGAUAAGCCCGGGAAACUGGGUCUAAUACUGGAUAUGACUCCAUGACGCAUGUUGUGGGGUGGAAAGCCUUGUGCGGCUGAGGAUGGGCCCGCGGCCUAUCAGCUUGUUGGUGGGGUGAUGGCCUACCAAGGCGACGACGGGUA